GACGAACGCUGGCGGCGUGCUUAACACAUGCAAGUCGAACGGAAAGGCCCUGCUUUUGUGGGGUGCUCGAGUGGCGAACGGGUGAGUAACACGUGAGUAACCUGCCCUUGACUUUGGGAUAACUUCAGGAAACUGGGGCUAAUACCGGAUAGGAGCUCCUGCUGCAUGGUGGGGGUUGGAAAGUUUCGGCGGUUGGGGAUGGACUCGCGGCUUAUCAGCUUGUUGGUGGGGUAGUGGCUUACCAAGGCUUUGACGGGUAGCCGGCCUGAGAGGGUGACCGGCCACAUUGGGACUGAGAUACGGCCCAGACUCCUACGGGAGGCAGCAGUGGGGAAUAUUGCACAAUGGGCGGAAGCCUGAUGCAGCAACGCCGCGUGCGGGAUGACGGCCUUCGGGUUGUAAACCGCUUUCGCCUGUGACGAAGCGUGAGUGACGGUAAUGGGUAAAGAAGCACCGGCUAACUACGUGCCAGCAGCCGCGGUGAUACGUAGGGUGCGAGCGUUGUCCGGAUUUAUUGGGCGUAAAGGGCUCGUAGGUGGUUGAUCGCGUCGGAAGUGUAAAUCUUGGGGCUUAACCCUGAGCGUGCUUUCGAUACGGGUUGACUUGAGGAAGGUAGGGGAGAAUGGAAUUCCUGGUGGAGCGGUGGAAUGCGCAGAUAUCAGGAGGAACACCAGUGGCGAAGGCGGUUCUCUGGGCCUUUCCUGACGCUGAGGAGCGAAAGCGUGGGGAGCGAACAGGCUUAGAUACCCUGGUAGUCCACGCUGUAAACGGUGGGUACUAGGUGUGGGGUCCAUUCCACGGGUUCCGUGCCGUAGCUAACGCUUUAAGUACCCCGCCUGGGGAGUACGGCCGCAAGGCUAAAACUCAAAGGAAUUGACGGGGCCCCGCACAAGCGGCGGAGCAUGCGGAUUAAUUCGAUGCAACGCGUAGAACCUUACCUGGGUUUGACAUGGAUCGGAAGCGCUCAGAGAUGGGUGUGCCUCUUUUGGGGUCGGUUCACAGGUGGUGCAUGGCUGUCGUCAGCUCGUGUCGUGAGAUGUUGGGUUAAGUCCCGCAACGAGCGCAACCCUUGUUCACUGUUGCCAGCACGUUAUGGUGGGGACUCAGUGGAGACCGCCGGGGUCAACUCGGAGGAAGGUGGGGAUGACGUCAAGUCAUCAUGCCCCUUAUGUCCAGGGCUUCACGCAUGCUACAAUGGCUGGUACAGAGAGUGGCGAGCCUGUGAGGGUGAGCGAAUCUCGGAAAGCCGGUCUCAGUUCGGAUUGGGGUCUGCAACUCGACCUCACGAAGUCGGAGUCGCUAGUAAUCGCAGAUCAGCAACGCUGCGGUGAAUACGUUCCCGGG
rnacentral:rRNA from 1 species